AUUGAACGCUGGCGGCAGGCUUAACACAUGCAAGUCGAGCGAGCGGCGGACGGGUGUGUAAUGUCUGGGAAACUGCCUGAUGGGGGGGGAUAACUACUGAAAACGGUAUCUAAUACCGCAUACCAUCAGAUGUGCCCAGAUGGGAUAAGCUAGUAGGUGGGGUAAUGGCUCACCUAGGCGACGAUCCCUAGCUGGUCUGAGAGGAUGACCAGCCACACUGGAACUGAGACACGGUCCAGACGCCUACGGUAGGCAGCAGUGGGGAAUAUUGCGCAAUGGGCGCAAGCCUGAUGCAGCCAUGCCGCGUGUAUGAAGAAGGCCUUCGGGUUGUAAAGUACUUUCAGCGGGGAGGCGUUACCCGCAGAAGAAGCACCGGCUAACUCCGUGCCAGCAGCCGCGGUAAUAC
rnacentral:rRNA from 1 species